GAUGAAGAACGUAGCGAAAUGCGAUACUUGGUGUGAAUUGCAGAAUCCCGUGAACCAUCGAGUCUUUGAACGCAAGUUGCGCCCGAAGCCAUUAGGCCGAGGGCACGCCUGCCUGGGCGUCACACGUCGUUGCCCCCCCAUCUACUCCUUCGGGCUUGCGGGGGGCGGAUGAUGGCCUCCCGUGCGCCUCGUCGCGCGGUUGGCAUAAAUGCCAAGUCCUCGGCGACGCACGCCACGACAAUCGGUGGUUGCGAAACCUCGGUUGCCCGUCGUGUGCGGUCGUCGCGCAUCGAGGGCUCGAAAAAAUUGUCGGGCUCCGGCUCGGCUUUCAACGCGACCCCAGGUCAGGCGGGGUUACCCGCUGAAUUUAAGCAUAUCAAUAAGCGGAGGA
rnacentral:misc_RNA from 1 species